rnacentral:rRNA from 1 species
AUUGAACGCUGGCGGCAGGCCUAACACAUGCAAGUCGAACGAGUGGCGGACGGGUGAGUAAUGUCUGGGAAACUGCCCGAUGGAGGGGGCUAACUACUGGAACCGGUAGCUAAUACCGCAUACCAUCGGAUGUGCCCAGAUGGGAUUAGCUGGUAGGGGGGGGAACGGCUCACCAAGGCGACGAUCCCUAGCUGGUCUGAGAGGAGGACCAGCCAAACUGGAACUGAGACACGGUCCAGACUCCGACGGGAGGCAGCAGUGGGGAAUAUUGCACAAGGGGCGAAAGCCUGAUGCAGCCAUGCCGCGUGUAUGAAGAAGGCCUUCGGGUUGUGAAGUACUUUCAGCGAGGAGGCGUUACUCGCAGAAGAAGCACCGGCUAACUCCGUGCCAGCAGCCGCGGUAAUUC